UGUAAUUUGGAUUUUCUUUAAUGUUUCUAAGGUUUCUGGCACAAUUAAGAAAUCCAGUGGCUCAGUCUUUUACCAAAGAGGUCAUUCUCCUGCCAGACCAUACAUAUACAAAUGUGCCAAGGCGUGCCAGCAAAGCUUGGCUUUUUGAAAAUGGACAUAUAAAAUCCGCAUUGGAAUUUGGCUGUGACUGGGAUUCUGUCAAAGUAAUGCAGGCAAUAACAGCGGCCUUCCAGCCUGUUGUAGAGGGAUGCAGGUUACAAAUCUUGAUGCCAUGCCACAACAGACUAGUUGAGCCAUCCCUUAGCUCCAAUCAGACUUUGAGUGGAGGCCUUUUAAAAAAAUUGUUUCAUCAGAAGUCCAUAUAUGUCAGGCCUGACAAGGUCAUUUUAAGUGAGGAGAAAGAAUCUUCAUGUUCUGAUGGAGACAGUCACCAUGCAGGGAGCCUUGAUUUCGCCCAGUCAUCGGACAGUGACAACUGUG